GACGAACGCUGGCGGCGUGCUUAACACAUGCAAGUCAAGGGGGCCCGCAAGGGCAACCGGCGAACGGGUGCGUAACACGUGAGCAACCUGCCUUAGUGUGGGGAAUAGCCGGCCCAACGGCCGGGUAAUACCGCAUACGAUUCUUGGGGGGAGUCCCCUGGGAAGGAAACCUUCGGGGCACUGAGAGGGGCUCGCGGCCUAUCAGCUAGUUGGCGGGGUAAUGGCCCACCAAGGCGACGACGGGUAGCUGGUCUGAGAGGAUGGCCAGCCACAUUGGGACUGAGAGACGGCCCAGACUCCUACGGGAGGCAGCAGUGGGGAAUCUUGCGCAAUGGCCGAAAGGCUGACGCAGCGACGCCGCGUGUGGGAGGAAGCCCUUCGGGGUGUAAACCACUGUUGCCCGGGACGAAUGCCCCUUUCGAGGGGAGUGACGGUACCGGGUGAGGAAGCACCGGCUAACUCCGUGCCAGCAGCCGCCGUAAAAC
rnacentral:rRNA from 1 species